rnacentral:rRNA from 1 species
UACAGAGGUCUCAAGCGUUGUUCGGAUUCAUUGGGCGUAAAGGGUGCGUAGGAGGGCAGGUAAGUCAGUGGUGAAAUCUCCAAGCUUAACUUGGAAACUGCCGUUGAUACUAUCUGUCUUGAAUAUUGUGGAGGUGAGCGGAAUAUGUCAUGUAGCGGUGAAAUGCUUAGAUAUGACAUAGAAUACCUAUUGCGAAGGCAGCUUACUACGCAGAUAUUGACGCUCAUGCACGAAAGCGUGGGGAUCAAACAGG